rnacentral:lncRNA from 1 species
AUUUAAACUUUUAAUCCCUUUGGGCCUAAAACACGGCCCAUAUGGGAAAAUCAGUAGCCAGGUGGUACGAAAGGGUAAGCCAAUCAUCAGCCUGGCUAAAAUCCACACGGGAAUACAUUUACACGAGACUUGGGCCACAUGCGAUGAGACUGGCCCAAGCUGCCCAGGAGUCGUCUGCAUGUGAUAUGUGCUUAACAAUUUAAAACCCAAAAAAACGACCAUAUUCACCUACUUGACUAUUUGGAUUCCAAACUUACAAAUCAGAAUACUCUAACUAGCAAUAGAAUAGUGAGUCCAGCGAGGUAAAGGGAUGACAUUAACGCCUUAACACCACUACUGACAUGUAUAACUGCUUAGAACACUCGUUUAAACUGAAAUUGAAAUUGAAAUUGAAAUUGAAGCAUGCAUCAAACCAAACACAAUAAAGCUAACAGUCACAAAUCAUAAAAUGAUGAAAUCAAUAAGGCCAAAUCCUGAAGCUGAAGACGUAAUAAAAUGGACUAAACAUAGUAGAAUAUUCAACUAGCAUCAGAAGGCGAUUGUAUUUCCAUUUCAUCCGAGAUUACAUCAAAACAAAAUCCGAGUGCGUACCUGGAUUACAAUGAGAUGGAGGGAAGAGUUAGUGACAGAAUAGCAGGCAGCAACAACCAACAAAUCAGAACACAGAAGCAGCAACCCAGGAGAGCUUUCUUUCAAAUCCAGUAAUUGAUAAUUUGACCCCGCAAGUUCAGAAGCAGUUUUAAUAAAAAUCCAGUGAUGGAUGGACACAACAAUAAAUUCACCACUGAAGCAACCAAAUAAACCCCAAAUUGAACUCAAAGUCCUCCGAAACUUUAACUCAUACCAUCACUCAACCAAAACCCAUCUACCUAACCCAAACUCAUUCGAAAUCAGACAACAAGCCUACUGAGACUUCAAACUACCAGAAACUAAAUUAGAGAAAUGGAAAUUGAUAGCUAAAGUGAAAGUCACCUAAACUUUGAAUGGAGCAUUAAAUGUUAUUGGAUUUUUGGAAGUUUCCCUUGUUUUUUUGGUUUUUUCUAUUAUUUUUGUUGGUUUGUGGUUUUCUUUUGAAUAUCCUAAGAUCUAAGAGAAGAUUUUUGAAUUCCUAUUCAUUUUUCCAUUUUUGGGGGAAUUUUUAGGGCUCAAAAACCUGUUUCUUAAGGCAUUGGGGAUGCCUUAUAUAGGCAAGAGUGAGGUGCAGCUUCAGAUUUUGCAUUUUCAUUUCAGUCCCUCACCUAUUUUCAAAUUAGUCCUUUAUUUUUUAACUUGUUCCCCAAGUAACUACUACCAAAAUUAUUAAAAAUUACACUAAAGCCCCAUUUGGAAUGUAUUGGAAGGUUCUUUUAGCAUACAAUGCCUAUACUACCCCUAUCCUGAUUUUGAAAUUACCAUUCCUAAUAAAACUACCCUUUUCUAUGCCUAAACUACCCUUAUUUUCACCCUGGAAUUACUACCCAACCACAGCCCUUUUACCCUAGCUACAGAUUCAGAUUAGUUACAAGUAUUAAACUAUUCAGCUAAAUCCAAUCGACCAAACCUUUACUACUAAAAACUGAAUUAAAGAACAAUUAAACCUACUAAUCAAGCUAACAGGAUACUAAUUCAAUCCAAUUAAGAUCUGACAAUAUUCAGAACAGAAUUCACAAACACAUAGUUACCUCAGUCUAGAAUUACGAAACCAAAACUAAAGAAGGAAACAAAAUCACCUACAAAUAUUUACAUAAAUCAAUUAUUGCUGAAGUCAGAACAUAAACUUGAAAUUAAAAUGAGUGAAACCUAAUCGAUCGAAUUAUACUAACUAAAUAGAACUAAACACUGAAACAAAUCAAAAAUACUCUAAACCUAGAAUUGUAACAGAAGCAUGAACGAUUAGAAACAGAUAACAACUUAACUUCAUUAAACAACUAAUGCAUGAACCCACUAAUAAGAAAUAAGAUUAAAAAAAUGAAAGAACAAAACAGAGAAGGAAAACUUACGACUAAAAUCUUCACUCGACCAGUUCAACGAACUUGAUUUUUAAUUGACGUUAUAUGUUCAUAAAACAUAUGGCGUAAAUUAUAAAUCAACUCGCCGCCUUAAAAAUUCCCCAGAACAAGUUCGAACCCUAAACCCUAGAUCCGCAAUCCGUCCCGUUCCUUUAAGAUUCGAAGUUUCUUGGCUUGUGUUUCAGGUUGAGGGAGUCGAAGAGACUGUAGGGUCCAAUUUUGAGCGGAUUCGAACAACGUAGCAUUUGGACAGAUCUUCAAAUCGAUGUUCGAACCGGUUGAUAAUGAUUCGAGGGAAAUGGAAAGUAGAUUGGGUAUGAGGAGGAUGAGAGGCCUUGGGGUGUUCAUGGGGUGGGGUUUGGCCACCGGCUCCGCCGUGCACGGUGGUGGCGGCGUUUAGGGUUUGACAGAUUUGAGGCGAUUGGGUGGGAUUUGGAGAAAAUAAUUGGUGGAUAUGGAACAGGGAGGUGGAGGAGCAUCAAUGGUGUAAUUUGGGGCCCAUCGGAGCAUCGCUGUCGGCGGGGACGAUUCCCGGCCGGCGGUGGACGCCGGAGGCACGGCGGAGAUGGUGGGGGGAGCUUUGGUAAGAGGAAGACAUAAUCUGUCU